rnacentral:rRNA from 1 species
AUACGGAGGGUGCAAGCGUUGUUCGGAAUCACUGGGCGUAAAGGGCGCGCAGGCGGUUUGGUAAGUCAGAUGUGAAAGCCCACGGCUCAACCGUGGAAGUGCAUUUGAAACUGCCAGACUUGAGUACCAGAGGGGAAAGUGGAAUUCCCGGUGUAGAGGUGAAAUUCGUAGAUAUCGGGAGGAAUACCGGUGGCGAAGGCGACUUUCUGGCUGGAUACUGACGCUGAGGCGCGAAAGCGUGGGGAGCAAACAGAAUUAGAAACCCGAGUAGUCC